CCCCCUACAGUGGAGAUCACUAGCGAGGGGGAUCCGAUAAGAACGACCAAAAUGCGCGUCGACAUGUGAACUGCAGGACACAUGAACAUCGACGUUUCGAACGCACAUUGCAGUCCAUGGAUUCCGUUCCUGGGCCACGUCUGGCUGAGGGUCA
rnacentral:rRNA from 1 species